rnacentral:rRNA from 1 species
UCCCCUAGUAACGGCGAGUGAAGCGGGAUGAGCUCAAAUUUGAAAUCUGGCUGGUUUACUAGUCCGAGUUGUAAUUUAAAGAAGCGUUUUCGGUGGCAGCCUGGGUAUAAAUCCUUUGGAAUAGGGUAUCAUAGAGGGUGAGAAUCCCGUCUUUGACCUAGUGCAUGCUACUAUGUGAUACGUUUUCAAAGAGUCGAGUUGUUUGGGAAUGCAGCUCAAAAUGGGUGGUAAAUUUCAUCUAAAGCUAAAUAUUGGCGAGAGACCGAUAGCGAACAAGUACCGUGAGGGAAAGAUGAAAAGAACUUUGAAAAGAGAGUUAAACAGUGCGUGAAAUUGUUGAAAGGGAAACGUUUGACACCAGUCAUGUGGGUGGAAAAUCAGUCUUUUGCAUUGGGGAGUUGUAAGGGUUCGGACCGCAAGGCCGGCUUUUGCUUCAUCUUUGGUGUAAGUGAUGCACUUUUUCAUCUACAGGUCAACAUCAGUUUCUUUUGCUGGACAAAACUCCGAGAGAAGGUAGCAGCUUAGGCUGUGUUAUAGCUCUGGAGCGAUACAGUGAAGGGGACUGAGGUUUUCGCAGCGUGUGCUCUCGGGCAAGGCUGGAUGGGUGCUAUGGGAUCGUUCGGGGUACAAUGCCUGGCAUUUUGCUUCGUGUCUUUUCUAUACUCGCUCAACUCAGCUCUUCCACGCUUAGGAUGUUGACUUAAUGGUUUUAAACGACCCGUCUUGAAACACGGACCAAGGAGUCUAACAUAUAUGCAAGUGUUUGGGUGGCAAACCCAUGCGCGUAAUGAAAGUGAACGUAGGUGCGAUCCGCAAGGUGCAGCAUCGACCGAUCUUGAUAUUUUUGGAUAGAUUUGAGUAAGAGCAUAUAUGCUGGGACCCGAAAGAUGGUGAACUAUGCCUGAAUAGGGUGAAGCCAGA